rnacentral:rRNA from 1 species
GAUGAACGCUGGCGGCGUGCUUAACACAUGCAAGUCGAACGGAAAGGCUCCUGCUUGCAGGGGUACUCGAGUGGCGAACGGGUGAGUAACACGUGGGUGAUCUGCCCUGCACUUCGGGAUAAGCCUGGGAAACUGGGUCUAAUACCGGAUAGGACGAUGGUUUGGAUGCCAUUGUGGACAGUUUUUUCGGUGUGGUAUGAGCUCUCGGCCUAUCAGCUUGUUGGUGGGGUAAUGGCCUACCAAUGCGUCGACGGGUAGCCGGCCUGAGAGGGUGUACGGCCACAUUGGGACUGAGAUACGGCCCAGACUCCUACGGGAGGCAGCAGUGGGGAAUAUUGCACAAUGGGCGAAAGCCUGAUGCAGCGACGCCGCGUGGGGGAUGACGGCCUUCGGGUUGUAAACUCCUUUCGCUAGGGACGAAGCGCAAGUGACGGUACCUGGAGAAGAAGCACCGGCUAACUACGUG